rnacentral:rRNA from 1 species
CGGUAGUUCAGGAAUAAGCACCGGCUAACUACCGUGCCAGCAGAAUGCGGUAAUACGGAGGGUGCAAGCGUUGUCCGGAAUCACUGGGUGUAAAGGGUGUGCAGGCGGGGCAGCAAGUCGGAUGUGAAACCCCAUGGCUUAACCAUGGAGGUGCAUUCGAAACUGUUGCUCUUGAGUCCCGGAGAGGCUGUCGGAAUUCGUGGUGUAGCGGUGAAAUGCGUAGAUAUCACGAGGAACACCAGAGGCGAAAGCGGACAGCUGGUACGGGUACUGACGCUCAGGCACGAAAGCGUGGGGAGCAAACAGGAUUAGAUACCCUGGUAGUCCCACGCCGUAAACGAUGAAUGCUCGCCGUGCCUCGUUAGGGGGCAGUGGCUAAGCUAACGCGUUC